AUUGGGUGAUGAUAAUGAUGAUGAUGAUGAUGAUGAUCAUCAUCAUCAUCAUCAUCAUCAUAAUCAUCAUCAUCAUCAUCAUCAUCAUCAUUAUCA
rnacentral:pre_miRNA from 1 species